rnacentral:lncRNA from 1 species
UUUGUUUGUACAAAAUCUCAUCCACAAUUGCUUGAAUCUUUCUGAAUAUAUUAGCUGAACCCAUUGGGAUAUGCAAAUGUAAUGCAAAAAAGGAACUGAAAAAACAAUUCUAAAGUUUCCAUUAAUUUUAACAAUUUUCAAUCUCAAGAUAACUUCAAGUCUUUCCAUGUCAAGUUAUGAUGAUCAAUCCUCCUUUCAUAUCUAUAUAUAUAGAUAUAUAUCAAAAGCAAGCAGGACGUCCACAUUACAAAAACUUGGUACCUAAUCACAUUAAUCAGACACCCAUACCACUGACAAUCAUAUAUCUACAAACAAAACCAGUCUGAUACAAAAAUGUUCUGGUCUUUUAAAACUGUAUAAAUCUAUAAGUAAAAAAAGAAAAGAUGUAGGCUAUCCAUCAACACCACAUUCUUCAUAACAUGUAAUGGGUUGAGUAGACUUGUAGACGUGAUCAAUCAUUCUAAACCUCUUUAUCCUUCUUUUCGGAUACCCAUCAUCAUCUUCUUCUUCAUCUCCAUCUUCUCCAUAAAUCUCAUCCAUGACAGUAGAAGAACAUGAUGGUGAUGUAACAUCAUUUUGUUUCUCUUCUUCUUCUUUAUAUUCUUUGCCACCAUCAUCAUAUCUGUAGACUUUGCUUAGUUGCAGUAGAAGCUGAGCAACGUCCAAUUCCCAAUCGGAGAAGGAGAUACUAUUCUUUUGCUUCUUCUGGGUUGUCCUGUUUUCGGUUGUUAAGGGAAUUCUUGCCAUUUUUAAGAGUUGACGGAGAGAAUUGGAUUGCGUUUGGAUUUGGAUUGAGUUUAUUUGGGUUGAUAUUUAUAUAUGGG